GGUUUUGAUUUAAGGCUCCCUGCCCCUGGGAGAUGGGGCCUCUCAUCAGCACACACAAUGAUGCUUCAGUGUAACUGAACGCCAAGGAGCCUGUGUCUGGCAUAGAAAGCUCCAGGCUGAACCAGGAUGUCUGAAGCCAUUGCUAGCUCAGGGGAGGGCGGGGAGCAACUGCAGCUAUCAAGAGCCAGUGCCAGGACCAGGUGUGGAUGCCGUGUCUUCACAGGCUCCCUGACUAGCCGGAGACCAUAAAUAAAAAGAUUCCCCUUUGGCAGGAACACAGGUGAAUCCUGGUGUGGCCAACAGUGAAAGCAAAACGCCUGAGGGAAAAGCCUGGCGCCUCUGCUAACUCUACAAGGUUACUCCACUUCUCUCUCCAAUCCUAACCACCACUGAGAAGCCACCAGUGCCAGGUGAGCCACGGUGUCAAAGCUGACAUUAACGGCUGUUCUCUGAAGAAGCCGCUGCCUCUGUUUAGAAGCUGUGCCCACGACAGCUGCAAUGAACUGUGGGCUACCCUGGCACACAGUGGGGACCUGCUUGCUUGCAUUAGGGAACUCAGCUGAUUCAGACCUGCAGACUAAGACAUGCCCCGCAGACCAAAGGCCAAAACCAAAGUAAAUGGAACAG
rnacentral:lncRNA from 1 species